GCUGCUGGGUGCAUGGAGAUGGUUUCAGUUCCUAUAAAAUUGCUGUACUUUAUGCAAUAGUUGUCUGAACAGACUGGAGUCAGACGUGCCCGGGGGCAAUGCAGCUGUAGCUGGGAGCCCUUCUUCCGCCACCAGCCUCUGCCCUUCCCUGUAGGAUCCAGCAGGCAGUUACAAUGAAGAUGAGGAUUUCCUUCCACUCGCACUGUGCCAUGGGCAACCCCUCUCUGUCCAGUUACCUCCUUUUCUUUUUUACGGUCCAUGUUUCUACAUUGGAAUCAGAUGACACCAAGCUGGGAGAGGUUGCUACAACUCUGGAAGACAGGAU